CUGCUGCCUUCCGUAGGAGUUUGGGCCGUGUCUCAGUCCCAAUGUGGCCGUCCACCCUCUCAGGCCGGCUACUGAUCGUCGCCUUGGUGGGCCUCUACCCCGCCAACAAGCUAAUCAGACGCGGGUCCAUCUUACACCACCGGAGUUUUUCACACCGGGCCAUGCGGCCCUGUGCGCUUAUGCGGUAUUAGCACCUGUUUCCAGGUGUUAUCCCCCUGUGUAAGGCAGGUUACCCACGCGUUACUCACCCGUCCGCCACUCGAA
rnacentral:rRNA from 1 species